CCUUCGGGGAGCCUCCUCCCUUCGCCCCGCCCCUCUGCACAGGGGACUGGCGGUGCGGCCGGCGCUCUCUGAUUGGCGUCCGCCUCAGGGUUCCCGUCGGCACCAGCGUGUGCCAAGUGGGGAACAGGUUGGGAGUUGCUGGAAGUGGAGGCGGGGGAGCGGCCACUGGCAGUGAGCGCGGGCGGCGGCUGGGCGCAAAGUAGAGAGCAGUCCGUAGUUUAAGCCUUUCCGUCGCCCUCCGGCACUGCCAGUACCACGGACUCCACCCUGCCGCGGCCCCUCGGUGACGCGUGCAGCUGCCACUCGACCAGGAGCUUUCCCAGAGGGUUCUGAACCUGCUCCUCCUCAGUCCAUCCAGCCAACCAGAUUGUGUUUAUGUCAGGACGUUGCCUGAAAUAAAACUGAAGCUUCAUAGUUUAGCCUUUAAUUG
rnacentral:lncRNA from 13 species